rnacentral:rRNA from 1 species
CCUACGGGGGGCAGCAGUAGGGAAUCUUCCACAAUGGACGAAAGUCUGAUGGAGCAACGCCGCGUGAGUGAAGAAGGGUUUCGGCUCGCAAAGCUCUGUUGGUAGUGAAGAAAGAUAGAGGUAGUAACUGGCCUUUAUUUGACGGUAAUUACUUAGAAAGUCACGGCUAACUACGUGCCAGCAGCCGCGGUAAUACGUAGGUGGCAAGCGUUGUUCGGAAUGACUGGGCGUAAAGGGUGCGUAGGCGGUGUAGCAAGUUAGAAGUGAAAUACCUAGAGCUUAACUCAGGUGCUGCUUCUAAAACU